ensembl:lncRNA LINC00923 long intergenic non-protein coding RNA 923
AAUCAGACCACAGUGCUUGGAGCACAAUGGGCCCUUAAAAAUGGGGACAAGAGGGAAGAAGAAAGGAAGGCUGGGGCAAGCAAAAAGGAGAGCCAGAUUUCUUUGUCAAGUUUUAAAAGUAUCGCUGUACGGAAAUUUUACAGAAGAAAUUUUGAACACCACAGAUUUUUGCCUUUUGAGUUAUUAUUUGCAUUAACGUAAUAUUAACAGGGCAACAAUGUUUUUCGAUUUAUCAUGUGGUUAAGCAAAUUGUUAAACACAUUUGAUUACCGAAAACAGGGAAUAUGGUAGAAGAUCAAAGACAUGCCAGAAAUUUUUAUUUUAUGUGGGACACUCGGAAUUUAGUUGAGCCUGACAGAGUCCUGCUGGCUAACACCAAGGAGAGACUAUUGCUGGCCCCAUGCAAGUGGCUGGAAUAAUGGAAGUCAAGAAGGAAAUCUCCACAUGGUCGACACUUUGAAGUUGGUCAUAGAUAGGAAGUUAGAACAAACUCCAGUGGGUGAGGGGUCAUGAGUUUACCAGGAGAAGGUAACUUAAGACUGAAUGAACAAAAAGAAUUUGUGGUCACACGAAAAUAAGGAGCAAAACUUCAGGAACAGUCUGAGAUAACAAGAAGCUUUAUUUCCAAUAUAUGGGUCCCAUCCCAUUGUAACACUAAUUGAGAACUUCCCGUCUGGAGGAAAGAAGAGAAUGAAUGACAUGCAACAUUGGACCCUAAACAGAACCAAUGACAAACCUGUGAGCUCACAAGCACACUUCUGGAGAACCUGGCUACCAGAGAAGUGUUACUUCCAAGCUGUAAAAUCACUCAGCAGUCCCUGCAACUGAUGCAACCUUUACUUUAAGAGAAUAGGAGGACAUCAUGUUCAUAAAGAAACCUUGGAUCUCGAACGUACCUAAAAAGCAGCUUAAAGUCCUUGGAGCAAACAGUACAGCUGAGAAAUGUUACACCAGUUGGGUGUCAAUCCAUAAAACCCGUUCUAGAGAAAAUCGUGGAGGUAAAAAUAAAGGAGGAAGAGUAUAGGGCAGGAUGGUAGCUUUACAAAUGAGUAUAACACCUGAAUGGAAAAAAAAAUUAAAAAGACCUUCUUGGUA